rnacentral:ncRNA from 2 species
CUUAUGAAGAGCGGUCGAGGGACGGGCCCGAUGACACCCGCCAACCUGCAUUCCUGCGAGGUGGCAAAUCCCGCAGCGCAUACGCGCUGGCAGAUAAGG